rnacentral:lncRNA from 1 species
CAGUUGGGAUUCAGACCUUGACAGUUGUAACUGAUAGACAGGGCUGGGGCAAUGCUGAUGAAAGGCAAAUUCCUGAGAGAAAAAUCACCCAAAGUAAGGAGUUUGGCACUGUAGACUAGAUUCAGCUGCAGGAAUUGUGCACUAGAAAGAUGCAGUGUUUCUUUUUUUUUUGAGACGGAGUCUUGUUCCAGGCUGGAGCACAGUGGCACCAUCUUGGCUCACUGCAACCUCCCUCUCCCGGGUUCACAAGAUUCUCCUGCCUCAGCCUCCUGAGUAGCUGGGAUUACAGGCACCCACCAAGAUGCCCGGCUAAUUUUUAGUAGAGACAGGGUUUCACCGUGUUGACCAGGCUGGUCUCAAACUCCUGACCUCAUGUGAUCUGCCCGCCUCGGCCUCCCAAAGUGCUGGGAUUACAGGUGUGAGCCACUGCGCCCGGCCAAGAUGUGGUGUUUCUAAUGGCAGGCACUUGAACCCAAUUGAACCCUGAGAGCCCCUCUGAGAGGGCUGUGUGUGUUGGGAAUGAGAGAGUUACGAGUUUUUCAGUGCCUUCUCUAGCUUUCUAGAAGUUGUUAUGAGUGGACCUGACUACCUAGAGAGAGUAAUACAGAAGCUCCAUGCCGAUCACAGCUACCUCAUUACCAAGUUCCUCCAAGAUGGCCGCCCCUGAGGAGAAUCAUCAACUGGGCUUUACGGAAGAGAGAAAUCCAAACGACCAUCAGCAACAAAUGAAAGACUGAAGUUGAAAGGAAAUCCAUAAUUUUUGAAUGCUGGCCGAGGUCUGUGACCUCUGACUGAAUGGUUUCCAAGCUCUGAAUUCCUAGGUAUAACACUUGCUGAAGAAAGGAAAAGCUCUCUGAUUUAGGUGUAAGCAAAACAAUCUAAACAGUAGGAUAAAAUCGUGUUGGAGUGGAGUUCUGUGUGAGCGCUGUCUUUGAACCAAAUCAGUUCCACAACUGACCCUG